rnacentral:lncRNA from 1 species
AAUGGAAGUAUUUUUCAAAACUGUUUUACAUGGAUAAAGUUCAGAUUUAUACCUUUAAAAUGACUUCUCUCACGUUUUCAUACGAUUUUUCUGCAAUUUUUGGCGAAUUUUACAAAACUGCCUAUCAUAUUUGAAAUAAUUUCGGACCAACCUGUGAAGAUGAGUAAUUUCACACUAGUUUGAAGCGAUCAAAAAUUAUGAGAAAAUCUGAGAAGAAAGUAGACAAAAUUUACAAACUUCCAAAAUUUACGAAUCCAGAUUUCGACUUACGAUGAAUUUUCUGCAAAUUUUCUAAAAACUAGUUCGGAAAAGCCAAAAACCAGAAAAAUAUGUAUUUUCACAAAACCAAGCCAAAAAUGAUAUUUUUGACAAAAAUGGGUUUAAAAUGCUAUUUUUAUCACAAAGUAGUCAUCAACACAAGUUUUUAACAAAAUUGGAGAUUAAAGUGUUAUUCUUACAAAAAUUGGGCCUUAAUUGUAAAUUUUUGGCUUAUUGGGCCAAGAAUGUCAUUUUUACAAAAAGUGGGCUUUAGAUAUCAAUUAUGUAAAUAAUCAAGCUAAAAUAAACAAAACAAUAACAAACGGGUUAAAAACGACAUUCAUAUCCUUAUUGGGCCUGGAAAUAAUAUACAUGUUUAGUGGGCCUGAGUGUCCUUUUACAUGUAUAUUGGGCUCGAGAUAGGUAUUCAUAUCCUUAUUGGGCCUGGAAAUAAUAUACUUGUUUAGUGGGCCUUAGUGUCCUUUUACAUGUAUAUUGGGCUUAGGAUAGACAUUCACAUUCCUUUUGAGCCUGGAAAUAAUAGACACGUAUAGUGGGCCUUAGUGGUCCACUUACAUGUUUAUUGGGUCUAGGAAUGGGUUUUAUAUGUGUUAUUCUUUUUAUGUUAUUUUAGUGGAUACUAUUUGCAUGCUAUUUGGGCCUAUAAAUACCUUACAUGUGAAAUGGGCCUUAGUUGUCCUUUCACAUAUAUUUUGGGCCCAUGUUAUAUAAUCUCAUUCCCUUUAGGUCUUGAAAUGAUUUACAUGUUUAGUGCUGCCUUAGGGGUUCACUUACAUGGAUCAUUGGUCCUAGAAUGAGUUUAUACAUUUUUGUUCGCGUAAAUUCGAUUAAGGAUCUAGCGAGUUUUUAUCGGUUGGCACCUAUUAAGUGUACGAUUGUAGCCUGUAGUUAUAACCAGAGUCUCUUGGAGGGAGCGCGGGGAUUUGUGUAUAGAUCUAUACGAGGAUGACACCCCACUCCUGAGUUGUUCGCUACAGCUAGACUAACUCAGUCUAGGGUGACAAAAACCUUAUUCUAUUUUCCGUCGGCGUCCAACGACGCCAAGACAGGUGAAAUUGUCAUUAUUUAGUAUGGUUAUGACGGCUCGCUUAGAGGAAUUAACGUUAUGAAGUUUACGGAAGACCAUUCACCAUUCACCAUUCACCAUUCUCUUGGAUUACUCGGAAACAUUCUCUUACUAGUACUCAACCUCGGGGGUUGGUAUGACAACUUUCUCUUGUACAGACAACAUCGGGUUGUCUGGGAAUAUUCUCUUUACAUGCUCUUACAUUCUCUCUACAUUCUCUUUACCUUUUUAGUCAAAUAAACAAUAACAUACAUGCAUUAAUACAAGAUCUAACACAAACACACUAAACAAUUUUCAGAAAGUAUCGGAUUUUCUGGUGGUUUUCAAAGUUAUACAAAUCAUUUUCACAAACAUGCUUAUGAACUCACCAACAUUUUUAUGUUGACCGUUUUCAAAAUAACUUGUAUUCUCAGGAAAUCGUUGAAGCAGGAUGAAUAAAACAAACUAUUGGAUAUUGUGUUAUAUUUUGUUUCAUCAUACUCUUACUAUUUUGGCAUGUAAUAUUCAAAUACAAUACUCGAUGUAAACAAUGAAUGUUGUUAUAUUACAUGUGUGAUGAUGAUGAUGUUAUGUUUCAAUUAUAUUCACUGUAAUGAUAUUUCAAGAUGAAGUCACGCACAAGCCCCCGGACGUUUCUGCCGUCUGGUUCGGGGGUGUGACAGAUUGGUAUCAGAGCAUUGUUUAUAGUGAACUAGCAUAUCUAAUCAUACACGAUAUGCAACUAUAAAUACAAUGGGACUAAACAACUCUGAACAUAAUAAUUAAAAUACAUACCUUUGUGUGCAUUUUAGAAUAAAAACACAACAAUAACAGUAAAAGUCUUUGGAGGAUUUGGACAUCGCUAUUAAACUCGGGCAGUUAUGUAGUCGUAUUGGGGGUGAAUGUAACCUGAUCAACUACAUUCAUUCAAAAUACGACCAACAUGUGUUCAGGAGUAAUUGUGAUGGACAAUGAAUCAAAAACUUACCAUUUAAUUAUCCAAAGAGCUUAUAGAACCAAACCUAAAAAAAAUUAAAUUACUAUAGGAGUAAUUGGUAUGUUAUUUGUUUCUAGUAUUCAUAACCGUUCGUGCAAUACACUAUAGACGAGUAUCAUUAGCCAAGAAACCCUUAUCUCCCUAGUCAGGGAAUAGCAGGGUGGCUCGACUCAGAGGAAGAACCAGAGGAGGAAUACGAAGUAGAACUUGCAGUGGACCCGCCGAGUGAAUAGUAGACCUCGAGGAGGAAGAGCCCGAGGGAAAUUAUGAUGAUGAAUCGGGUGGAGAAUCCGAUGUCAUCAAUCCUCCAUGCAAAACCAGAGUACCGACAUAUCGUGUGGGCCCCGGUGGCCCCAUGCCCCCUUAGGCACACGAUAUUUGGAUAUAGAUUCACCAGUAGGGGAUACGACCACACUACAGUAGUAACUGAGGUCUCUUCGAUCUUAGGCAUAGAGGACGAGAUGACCGGUCCCUCCCAGUCAUGGUCCAGCGCGCCCAAGGUAUUGAUAAUCGAGCUCAGGACACCCCAAAUCGAACGGAACAAAUGCGGUUUGCUAUUGAGAGAGACAAGAAACAAACAAAGGAAGUGAACGGAGACUCCCAAGCGAGACAGUUAGUUUGAGAAGUACGACUACGAGAUACCGAACAACAAGUAGCUCAUCUCCGAGGUGCAUCCACUUCAUCAGCACGACCACUAGACACUUUCCGUCACAAUUAGGAUCAGCCUUUUCUACUUCCCCCUACUAUUCGACAUGACUCUCUUUCGUGUACUAAGAUGGUACUUACCACUGGAACAAUUAUGUGCUAUCUUUAUUUCAUAUUACCACAUAGACUCAAUUAUAUGCACAAGCGAACCCUUAAAACCGCUAGAUACUUAAGGAUCUCGAAACCGAAACAAUCCAUAUCCUCUGAGGGGUGACGUAACGAUCGUGCCAAAUCUGUGAUUACCUACUACCGUGAAUACAUCAUAGGGAUGUAGAUGGAAGCAGUGAGAAUUAUGAAACAAGAUGCAAAAUUCAUAAAGUACAACCAGGAAUGACGAUCAUUACUUACGAUCUGGAUUAUCAAUGUGCAACAGGAAAAUGCCAUCCCACAAGAAUAACAAGCGCACUCGCGAGACACCAGUCCUGUAGAUGGACUCUACUACAUUUCAAACUGCUGUAACGGCGGCAGUAACCGCUGUUAUGGCACAAAUCAAUGCAAACAACCCCAAUGGAGGCGGGAAUAGCAUUGACAACUUCAGCCAAAGGAACAAACAUGGAAACCAAAAAGUGACAACCUAUCAAGGAACUCCAAACCCUAAGCUUAAGAGCAGGAAGCUGAGGUCUGGAAGUAAGGGAAAGGGACAACCCACUCAAUGGUUCUCCAGGAAGCAACAUGUUGUUGCUAUUCAUGCGACCAUGACCCCUAUUACCCCAACAACCAGAAGACCAUAUGCUGGAAGCCUUCCAAAAUGCAACCAGUGCAAAUUCCAUCAUAAUGGAGCCUACCGGGAGAUGCAUUGUAACAAAUGCAACCGAAAGAAUCACACCACCAAAUUAUGUAGAACUUAUCCAUGCCAGAAUCGUCAGCCAAAUGAAAACGACAACAAUCGCAACAACCCUAACAACAACACCAAUGAUGAGACCAGUCAGACCUGCUAUGGGUGUGGAGGAACCGGUCACUUCAGGCAUAAUUUCCCCAAGGAUAACAAUCAAGGAGCGGAAGGAUCGGAAAUGGUCCUGACCUUGGGUCAAGGACAUGCAGUCCAAGCCCCAACGAUUGUUAUUGGUACGUUCCCACUUAACAACUCUUUCGCUUACCUCUUAUUCAAUAGUAAAGUUGAGUGAAGCUUCGUUAGUAACAUAUUCAAAUACUUACUAAAACAACAACCCAAAGCUAAGCNAAGCCUUUACGGUGGACAUGGCCAAUGGGGAAAAACCGAAGUAACCUAGUAUAUUUUUGUGGAGUACACCUUAACACUAAACAGUCAUUCAUUUCAAAUAAAAUUUAAUGCCAGUAAAUAUUAGGAGUUUUGAUGUGAUAAUCGGCAUGGUUGGGCUAAGCCCCCACCGUGUUGAUACUAUGUGUCACGAGAAGGCCGUUUGUCUUAACCUUCCCAAUCACAAAAUUCUAAUAAUCCAUGCUUAUAAACCUGGCGCCAAUCCUCAUCCUAUCUCGUGCAUCAACGCACAGAAGUGCCUGCACCAGAAAAACUAUGUUUUCCUUGCUCAUGUUGUGGACAAGACCAAGGAAGAAGUAAGCAUACAAGGUAUUCCGGUAGCAUGAGAUUUUCCGAAUGUAUUUCCCGAAGAACUUCCGGGAAUACCUCCAGAAAGACAGGUUGAAUUUUUAAUCGACCUCAUACCGAGGAGCACAUCAAUUGCCAAUUCACCCUAUAGGUUGACUCUCGCCGAAAAUUCACAAGUUAUCCAGUCAAUUGAGAAGAAUUGUCGCGCAAAGGAUUCAUCGGACCAAGCUUCUCACCCUGGAGAGCUCCGGUCUUGUUCUUCAAGAAGACGGAUCCUUCAGAAGGUACAUGGAUCUUAGGAAACUGAAUAAACUCCCUAUCAAAAAUCGAUACCCACUUCCUCGGACUUACGAUCUAUUUGGCCAAGCUCCAAGGAGCUAGUUACUUCUCUAAAAUAGAUCUAAGAACCGAUUAUCAACAACUUCGAGUUCGAGAAGACGACAUUUCAAAAACUGCCUUCCGAACUCGUCACGACCAUUUCAAAUUCAUUGUGAUACCCUUCGGUCUAAUAAUGCUCCCACACUAUUCAUGGACCCCACGAACCAAGUUUUCUCAACCAUUCCUAGUUAGCCUUUUCAUUAUUUUCAUCAAUAACAUACUCGUCUGCCCACGAAGCGAGAACGAAACACUGUCAACAUCUACGACCAGCCUUGAAAGCAUCAAAGUCGGAGAAUAUCGCGAAGAAAAAACUACGUGGAUGGAUAAAACUCUCGGAGUUGAGAGACGAAGCUUAUAGGAAUCAAACAAGAUGGAAGGAUUAGCUUGGAUCUAUAUCCAGGAGAUCGUGAGACUCCAUGAAAUAUCGGUAUCUACUAUCUCGGAUCAAGAUAACGGGAUUCCUUCAAGAUUUUGACAGUCACUUCAGAGGGCUAUGGGAACAUAGCUAGAUAUGAGCGUUUCUUACCACCUUCAAAGCAAUAGCCAUGGCGAAUGAACCAUUCAACCACUCGAAGUUAUGCUACAAGUCUGGGUGUCUGAAUUCAAUAAGUCAGGGGAUACCCAGUUGCCCUUGACUGAAUUCUCAUGCCAUAACAGCUAUCGCAUGAGAUUGCACCUUUCGAAACACUUUAUAGUCAUGAAUGCAGAUCACUCGCCAGUACUCUCAUGAUACCAGAAACCAUUUGCGAAACAACAGAGAAGAUAAUCCAAAUCAAAGCUUGACUUCAAGCAUCGCGAGACCGACAGAAGAGCUAUUCUGACAAGCGGCGUAAGCCAUUAGGAUGUCAAGUCGGGGAUCGCGUAUUAUCAAAAGAAUCUCCUUGGAAAGGAAUGAUUCGCUUUAGGAAACGAGAAAACUAAACCCACGAUACAUCGGGCUGUUCGAGAUUUUUGCUCGGAUUGGUCCAAAGACUUAUAGGCUGUAGCUACCAAUAGAGCUCAGCAACGUACACCCUGUGUUCAGCUUCUCGAAUCUGAAAAAGUGUCUAUCAUGCAAAACUCUUAUCAUUCCUUUAUAAGGGAUCGAAAUAAACAAGAAUCUCCUGUUCGUCAAAGAACCAGUCGAGGUGUUUUACAUAGGGAAGUAGAGCAUACAAAACAAAGCCACAUUUCGAUUGUGAAGGUUCGAUGGAACACAAAACGUGGACCGGAAUUCACAUGGGAAACACAAAGAUCAGAUGAAGUACCCAUUCUCUCAUUCAUGAACCUAUCUUUCGAAAGAAUUUCGGGACGAAAUUCCCUCUAACGGGGGGAUGAUGUCACAACUAGCAUUUUAGCUAGGAAAUUCUAUUAUCAUAUAAACAUCAUCCAUUGUAAAAGCCUAAACUCUAUUCUCGUUCAAAUACAUCUCAUAUGUUCAAAUAAGGGUUGGAAACCCUAGAGAGCCCGAUUCAAGUCUAAUGUGUUUUAGGAUUCUCUUGUUGGGCCUAAUGGACCAAUAAGUAUCCAAGUUGACUACUUUGGGCCUAAAAACCCUAAUUAUGUUCUAAUUGGACCCAAUUCAUAAAUCUAUCACUUUUUGGGCCAUGAUGGGCCAUAAAGGAUUUAAUUAGCCCUAAUGGGCCCUAAACUAAUUUCUUUUGCCAUUUUGGGCUGUGAGCCUCCUUAAGAGCCAAUGGGCCAAAAAAAAAAAUUGGGCUCCAUAAAUAUUCAAACAAGACCAAGGUUGAACCCAAAUCAUUUCACUCUUAAUUCUUUGGCCCAAAUCUCGGCCCAAUGGAGAUAAUUAUGCAAUUAAAAAAAAAAAAAGGAGAUUAAACAUGCAAGUGCCACCUAAUCUUUGCAUGGUGGACUUCCAUGCUUAAACCCACCAUUUAACAAUGCAAGUUACAUGUAUCUAGACAAGAAUUACUCUCCAUCCCUCCCUUCUUCAAACUCAUGGCCAUAAGGCCUCCUCACCACCUCAUUCCCUUUCCAAAACCUUUCAAGAACACCUCUUCCCUUUCAUCAAAAAUUUCGAGAAUUAGGAACAUUCCAAGGAAGCUUUUCAUUCAAAAAUCACACCAAGAUACAUUCUAGUGAACUCAUCAAGAUUUGAAGAUCACUUCAAGAAGCUAGCUAGAGUCAUAACUUACACCACCUUCUUCUUAUCUUCAUCAAAACCGAAAUCCAAACCCCAAGGUGAGUUCAUACCCCUUGUUUUCUGUUUUUAUAUGAUUUUUGGGGGAGAAUACAAGUUGCUUUGUGUAGAUCUAUGUGUAUAUGCAUGACUAUGUGUGUUUUCCAUGAAUUAUUUGGUGAUUAUGUGUUGAUUUCUUCACUAAUCUAAAAAUAUGUUAAGAAACUUGAAGUUUAUCACUAGGAUCUUCACAUGAAUCUUGAGAAAAGUAUGUUUUAUCACAAGUAUUACAUGUAAACAUGUAGAUCUGGGAUUUUUAUACUUGAUAUAGCAAAAAUAAGUGUUGUGUUCAAAGAUCUAUAAACUAAACCCACAAACCAGCCCUUGACAGAAAACUUUUGGUGCAAUCUCGGACUGUUUUGACCAUCCAAAUGGAAGUAUUUUUCAAAACUGUUUUACAUGGAUAAAUGUCAGAAUUAUACCUUUAAAAUGACUACUCUCACGUUUUCAUACGAUUUUUCUACAAUUUUUGGCGAAUUUUACAAAACUGCCUAUCAUAUUUGAAAUAAUUUCGGACCAACCUGUGAAGAUGAGUAAUUUCACACUAGUUUCAAGCCAUCAAAAAUUACCAGAAAAAUUUGGAACAAAGUAGACAAAAUUUCCAAACUUCCAAAAUUUACGGAUCUAGAUUUCGACUUACGAUGAAUUUUCUGCAAAUUUUUUAAAAACUAGUUCGAUAAAGCCAAAA